rnacentral:rRNA from 1 species
UACGAAGGGGGCUAGCGUUGUUCGGAAUUACUGGGCGUAAAGGGCGCGUAGGCGGCCUUCUAAGUCGAACGUGAAAUCCCCAGGUUCAACCUGGGAACUGCAUCCGAUACUGGAUGGCUUGAAUUCGGGAGAGGGAUGCAGAAUUCCAGGUGUAGCGGUGAAAUGCGUAGAUAUCUGGAGGAAUACCGGUGGCGAAGGCGGCAUCUGGACCGACAUUGACGCUGAUGAGCGAAAGCUAGGGGAGCAAACGGGG